rnacentral:rRNA from 1 species
UACGGAGGGUGCAAGCGUUAUCCGGAUUUACUGGGUUUAAAGGGUGCGCAGGCGGAUAUGUAAGUCAGUGGUGAAAUCUCCGGGCUUAACCCGGAAACUGCCGUUGAUACUAUAUAUCUUGAAUGCUGUGGAGGUAAGCGGAAUAUGUCAUGUAGCGGUGAAAUGCUUAGAUAUGACAUAGAACACCGAUAGCGAAGGCAGCUUACUACAUGUUAAUUGACGCUGAGGCACGAAAGCGUGGGGAGCAAACAGG